UACAGAGGGGGCAAGCGUUGUUCGGAAUUACUGGGCGUAAAGAGCUCGUAGGUGGUUUGUCGCGUUGUUCGUGAAAACUCACAGCUUAACUGUGGGCGUGCGGGCGAUACGGGCAGACUGGAGUACUGCAGGGGAGACUGGAAUUCCUGGUGUAGCGGUGGAAUGCGCAGAUAUCAGGAGGAACACCGGUGGCGAAGGCGGGUCUCUGGGCAGUAACUGACGCUGAGGAGCGAAAGCCAGGGGAGCGAACGGG
rnacentral:rRNA from 1 species